GAACGAGAAAGUGGAGCAAUCCAUGAGUAAAGUGGCGCACGGGUGAGUAACACGUGGCUAACCUACCCUUGAGUGGGGGAUAACUGAGGGAAACCUUAGCUAAUACCGCAUAAUACCUACGGGUCAAAGGAGCAAUUCGCUUAAGGAGGGGGUCGCGGCCGAUUAGUUAGUUGGCGGGGUAAUGGCCCACCAAGGCAAUGAUCGGUAGCCGGUCUGAGAGGAUGGCCGGCCACACUGGAACUGAGACACGGUCCAGACUCCUACGGGAGGCAGCAGUGGGGAAUAUUGGACAAUGGGCGCAAGCCUGAUCCAGCCAUGCCGCGUGAGUGAUGAAGGCCCUAGGGUUGUAAAGCUCUUUUGUGCGGGAAGAUAAUGACGGUACCGCAAGAAUAAGCCCCGGCUAACUUCGUG
rnacentral:rRNA from 1 species